ensembl:misc_RNA Y_RNA Y RNA
GGCUGGUCUGAGUGCAGUGGUAUUUACAACCUAUUGAUCACAACCAGUUACAGAUUGCUUAGUUUCUUCUUCAUUCCCUCUGUUUCACUGAACUAGACAAAA